AACGUAGGAGGCUAGCGUUAUCCGGAUUUACUGGGCGUAAAGCGCGUGCAGGCGGUGGUGCAAGUUGGGCGUGAAAUCUCUCGGCUUAACUGGGAGGCGCCGUCCAAUACUGCAUCACUUGAGGGCAGGAGAGGGAAGUAGAAUUCCCGGUGUAGCGGUAAUAUGCGCAGAUAUCGGGAGGAAUACCAGUGGCGAAGGCGGCUUCCUGGCCUGCUCCUGACGCUAAGACGCGAAAGCUAGGGGAGCGAACGGGAUUAGAUACCCCUGUAGUCC
rnacentral:rRNA from 1 species